UUAUGAAUCUUGGACAAUGGGCGCAAGCCUGAUCCAGCCAUGCCGCGUGAGUGAUGAAGGCCCUAUGGUUGUAAAGCUCUUUCAGCGGGGAAGAUAAUGACGGUACCCGCAGAAGAAGCCCCGGCUAACUUCGUGCCAGCAGCCGCGGUAAUACGAAGGGGGCUAGCGUUGCUCGGAAUCACUGGGCGUAAAGCGCACGUAGGCGGCUUUUUAAGUCAGGGGUGAAAUCCCGGAGCUCAACUCCGGAACUGCCCUUGAUACUGGAAAGCUUGAGUCCGGGAGAGGUGAGUGGAACUGCGAGUGUAGAGGUGAAAUUCGUAGAUAUUCGCAAGAACACCAGUGGCGAAGGCGGCUCACUGGCCCGGUACUGACGCUGAGGUGCGAAAGCGUGGGGAGCAAACA
rnacentral:rRNA from 1 species